GGUUGCAACAUCCCCGUGGGUUGGGUGUCCGGUUCGGUGAACGGGCACAGUGAACCCACUGCAACU
rnacentral:sRNA from 12 species